CCGUGAACCUUUACUAUAGCUUGACACUGAACAUUGAGCCUUGAUGUGUAGGAUAGGUGGGAGGCUUUGAAGUGUGGACGCCAGUCUGCAUGGAGCCGACCUUGAAAUACCACCCUUUAAUGUUUGAUGUUCUAACGUGGGCCCCUUACCGGGGUUGCGGACAGUGUCUGGUGGGUAGUUUGACUGGGGCGGUCUCCUCCUAAAGAGUAACGGAGGAGCACGAAGGUUGGCUAAUCCUGGUCGGACAUCAGGAGGUUAGUGCAAUGGCAUAAGCCAGCUUGACUGCGAGCGUGACGGCGCGAGCAGGUGCGAAAGCAGGUCAUAGUGAUCCGGUGGUUCUGAAUGGAAGGGCCAUCGCUCAACGGAUAAAAGGUACUCCGGGGAUAACAGGCUGAUACCGCCCAAGAGUUCAUAUCGACGGCGGUGUUUGGCACCUCGAUGUCGGCUCAUCACAUCCUGGGGCUGAAGUAGGUCCCAAGGGUAUGGCUGUUCGCCAUUUAAAGUGGUACGCGAGCUGGGUUUAGAACGUCGUGAGACAGUUCGGUCCCUAUCUGCCGUGGGCGCUGGAGAACUGAGGGGGGCUGCUCCUAGUACGAGAGGACCGGAGUGGACGCAUCACUGGUGUUCGGGUUGUCAUGCCAAUGGCACUGCCCGGUAGCUAAAUGCGGAAGAGAUAAGUGCUGAAAGCAUCUAAGCACGAAACUUGCCCCGAGAUGAGUUCUCCCUGACUCCUUGAGAGUCCUGAAGGAACGUUGAAGACGACGACGUUGAUAGGCCGGGUGUGUAAGCGCAGCGAUGCGUUGAGCUAACCGGUACUAAUGAACCGUGAGGCUUAACCUUACAACGCCGAAG
rnacentral:rRNA from 1 species